UUAAAAAAAAUUAUUUAUUUAGUUAUAAUAGGGGGGAUUAUUAAUUAAUAAAAAUAAUUUAAUUUAUAGUAUAAUUAAGAAAAAAUUUUUUUAAUUAUAGAAAAUUAUGUAUUGUGAAAGAAAUUUAUUAAAAAUUAAUAAGAAAAAUUUAUUUUGUACCUUGUGUAUCAGGGUUUAUUAAUUAAGAAAUAAAUUUUAUUUUCUCGAAUUUAAAAGGGCUAAGAUAGUAUAAAUUUUAUUGUAGAAUAACUAUUUAAAAUAUUAUUUUAGUAAUGAAACGUUAUUCGUUUUUAAAUAUAUCUAGUUAUUUAAGAAAAAAAUUUAAUUUUUAAAUUAUUAAUAUUUUGGUUUUAUUGUUAAUUAAAUGUUAAUAGUUUGUUAUUUUUAUGGGGAAAAGCUUAUAAGAAAAUAUUUAUAAAUCAUUGAUUUUGGAAAAGUUAUAGGAUUAGAAAUGUCUAUUUAUAAAAUAGUGUUAUAAUUUAUUUUUGGGGGAGAAUAAUUUAUAAUUGAUUUUAGAUAUUUUAUUAAAUUAAAUAUUUUAACUAUAAAAAUUUUGGGAUAAUGAUAGAAUUAGUAAUAUUUUUGUAAAGAGUAGGUUGAGUUAAGGUAAGAUAAAGGAAUUCGGCAAAAAAAUUUUUCACCUGUUUAUUAAAAACAUGGCCUUUUGAUAAUAAUUUAAGGUUUAACCUGCCCACUGAGUAGUUAAAGGGCCGCGGUAUUUUGACCGUGCUAAGGUAGCAUAAUCAUUAGUUUUUUAAUUGAAAGCUGGAAUGAAUGGUUGAAUGAGAAAAUUACUGUCUUUAUUUUAUUUAGAUGAAUUUUAUUUUUAAGUUAAAAAGCUUAAAUUAAUUUAAAAGACGAGAAGACCCUAUAGAGUUUUAUAAACUUUAUUUUAUGAUUUUUUUAGUAUUAUAAAUUUAUAAAGGAAUUUUUAUUUGAUUGGGGUGAUUGAAAAAUUUGAUUAACUUUUUUUAUAUUUUUACAUGAAUUAAUGAAUAAUUGAUCCAUAAGUAAUGAUUAUAAGAUUAAAUUACCUUAGGGAUAACAGCGUAAUUGUUAUUGAGAGUUCAAAUCGAAAUAAUAGCUUGCGACCUCGAUGUUGGAUUAAAAUUUAUUUUUGGUGCAGAAGCUAAUAAACAGGGUCUGUUCGACCUUUAAAAUUUUACAUGAUCUGAGUUUAAACCGGUGUGAGCCAGGUUGGUUUCUAUCUUUAAAUAAUGAGGAUAUUUCAGUACGAAAGGACCAAGUACUCAAUAAAAUAUUUCUUUUUAGAAUAUUAUU
rnacentral:rRNA from 1 species